AUUGAACGCUGGCGGCAUGCCUUACACAUGCAAGUCGAACGGUAACGGGCCUUCGGGUGCCGACGAGUGGCGAACGGGUGAGUAAUACAUCGGAACGUGCCCGAUCGUGGGGGAUAACGAGGCGAAAGCGUUGCUAAUACCGCAUACGAUCUACGGAUGAAAGCAGGGGACCGCAAGGCCUUGGGCGGACGGAGCGGCCGAUGGCAGAUUAGGUAGUUGGUGGGAUAAAAGCUUACCAAGCCGACGAUCUGUAGCUGGUCUGAGAGGAUGAUGAGCCACACUGGAACUGAGACACGGCCCAGACUCCUACGGGAGGCAGCAGUGGGGAAUUUUGGACAAUGGGCGCAAGCCUGAUCCAGCCAUGCCGCGUGCAGGAUGAAGGCCUUCGGGUUGUAAACUGCUUUUGUACGGAACGAAAAGCCUUCUUUUAAUACAGGAGGGUCAUGACGGUACCGUAAGAAUAAGCACCGGCUAACUACGUG
rnacentral:rRNA from 1 species